rnacentral:rRNA from 1 species
AGCGGACGCUGGCGGCAGGCCUAACACAUGCAAGUCGAACGAACUCUUCGGAGUUAGUGGCGGACGGGUGAGUAACACGUGGGAACGUGCCUUUAGGUUCGGAAUAACUCAGGGAAACUUGUGCUAAUACCGAAUGUGCCCUUCGGGGGAAAGAUUUAUCGCCUUUAGAGCGGCCCGCGUCUGAUUAGCUAGUUGGUGAGGUAAAGGCUCACCAAGGCGACGAUCAGUAGCUGGUCUGAGAGGAUGAUCAGCCACAUUGGGACUGGGACACGGCCCAAACUCCUACGGGAAGCAGCAGUGGGGAAUCUUGCGCAAUGGGCGAAAGCCUGACGCAGCCAUGCCGCGUGAAUGAUGAAGGUCUUAGGAUUGUAAAAUUCUUUCACCGGGGACGAUAAUGACGGUACCCGGAGAAGAAGCCCCGGCUAACUUCGUG